ensembl:processed_transcript
ACGAGGAAGUGAAGUCAAGUCCGCCAUUUCAUCUUCUUCUUUAUAUCGGGUAAAAAAGAAAGGAAUCAUGCAAGCUGAAGGAAAUUACAACUCUCACAUCAGUGCAUUACUAAUUGUUUGACUUCAUCAUCAAGCACACCAGACGGUGCGGUGGUACAGUGGAUAGCUCUGUUGCCUCCCAGCAAAAAUGUUUCUGGUUCGAGCCUCGGCUGGGUCAGUUGGCAUUUCUGUGUGAAGUUUGUAUGUUCUCCCCGUGUUGGCGUGGGUUUCCUCCGGGUGCUCCAGUUUCCCCCACAAGACAUGCGGUACAGGUGAAUUGGCUCAGAUUGUGAUGGACCGGGAAUGCGACACCAGUUACUCUUAAGUCAAGAACCAAAUGAAGCACCAGAGUACAGAUUAUGGAGGUUCCUUGUAAAGAUUAACCCAGGGAAGGAUCGAAAAUGGAGAAGACCAGAUCAAGAAAGACUACAUCAAGAUCUG